rnacentral:rRNA from 1 species
UACGAAGGGGGCUAGCGUUGCUCGGAAUCACUGGGCGUAAAGGGCGUGUAGGCGGGAAGGAAAGUCAGAUGUGAAAUCCCUGGGCUCAACCCAGGAACUGCAUUUGAAACUCCCUUUCUUGAGUACCGGAGAGGAAAGUGGAAUUCCUGGUGUAGAGGUGAAAUUCGUAGAUAUCAGGAGGAACACCGGUGGCGAAGGCGGCUUUCUGGACGGUAACUGACGCUGAGACGCGAAAGCGUGGGGAGCAAACAGG